UCCCUGGUGGUCUAGUGGUUAAGACUCUGACCUUCCAAUGCAGGAGCACAGGUUUGAUCCCUGGUCAGGGAA
rnacentral:tRNA from 1 species